AUAUCAAUAAGCGGAGGAAAAGAAACCAACAGGGAUUGCCUUAGUAACGGCGAGUGAAGCGGCAAAAGCUCAAAUUUGAAAUCUGGCGCCUCUGGUGUCCGAGUUGUACUUUGGAGAGGCAUCUUCUGGAGGGGCCCGGCCUAUGUGCCUUGGAACAGGACGUCAUAGAGGGUGAGAAUCCCGUCCUUGGCCGGAUGUUCCCUCCUGUAUGUAGUGUCUUCUACGAGUCGAGUUGUUUGGGAAUGCAGCUCAAAAUGGGUGGUAAAUUUCAUCUAAAGCUAAAUAUUGGCGAGAGACCGAUAGCGCACAAGUAGAGUGAUCGAAAGAUGAAAAGCACUUUGAAAAUAGAGUCAAACAGUAC
rnacentral:rRNA from 1 species